GACGAACGCUGGCGGCGUGCUUAACACAUGCAAGUCGUACGGUAAGGCCCUUUCGGGGGUACACGAGUGGCGAACGGGUGCGUAACACGUGAGUAACCUGCCCACAACUUUGGGAUAACGCUAGGUUACUGGUGCUAAUACUGGAUAUGUGCUCCUGCUGCAUGGUGGGGGUUGGAAAGCUCCGGCGGUUGUGGAUGUAAUCGCGGCCUAUCAGCUUGUUGGUGGGGUAGUGGCCUACCAAGGCGGCGACGGGUAGCCGGCCUGAGAGGGUGACCGGCCACAUAGGGACUGAGAUACGGCCCAGACACCUAAGGGAGGCAACAGGGGGGAAUAUUGCAGAAGCGGCGCAAGCCUGAUGCAGCAGCGCCGCGGGCGGGAUGACGGCCUUCGGGUUGUAAACCGCUUUCAGCAGGGACGAAGCUUUUUGUGACGGUACCUGCAGAAGAAGCACCGGCUAACUACGUG
rnacentral:rRNA from 1 species